UGCGGCCAUAAAGCAGAGCACUAACCGCGGUACUGAUAAGGGAGGGGAGCAGGGCUCCGCCGCCGGGCCUGUGCCCAUGGACCUAGGUGAGGACGGGCACUCCUUCCUCCGCGGCCAAACGUUGCAUUUCCCAAGACCACCCUGACCCGCCACGCCCCCAUCCUGUGCCUAUAAAAACUCCCGAGACCCUAGCGGGCACAGACACAAGCGGCUGGACAUGAAGAGGAACACACCGGCGGGAGAACACAGAACACGCACCCUUUCUUUUAGUCACCCUGGAGGCCUCGGAGAAGGCGGUUUCAGUGAUCCGUGAAGAGACCCCGAGUCUUUUACAUCCCGGAGAAUGACAAGAGAGCGAGUACCUGGGCGACGUUUACGUUCUGGGAUUUCGGGAGAUGCGGUUUUCUGCACGCCAGGGGCCAAGCCUGAGACGUAGAUGGACGGCAGGGAUAGGAGCUCUCUCCGCGCCACAAACGCCCCUGCUCAUACCUGGGUUCCUUGAUUUUCCUGCCUAUAUAACCCAGCCUCCCAUGGCCGGGCUCUGAGCUCUCAUUCUGCGGACUGGGACAAAGGGGUUAACUGUGAUGCGCUUUGUAUAACCCCAGGAUUCUGCACUUGCCCAAGGGCGAGGUGCAAAUCAAAAACUACGCACAACUGAACACCGAGAUCAGGAUCCCGACUCAGAUUGAAAAAGCAGAGGAUGGUCACUGCCUUCCAGGUCUGAGGCUGUCUCCCAGAAGCUUCACUCCUGGCUUCGCCUUGGUAGGGAAGUUUCCGGAGGUGUUCGAAAACCUGGAAACUUAAGUGGGACAUAGGACGCUAUUUGUGUCCCGGUUAUAAAAAUUGGCAGAAAAGACAAGUGUAGUGUGGGGGAUUAGCUCAAGCGGUAGAGCGCCUGCUUAGCAUGCAAGAGGUAGCAGGAUCGAUGCCUGCAUUCUCCAGCUUCUUUUAAUCCCUAGGCUACCAAUGGUAUCUGGCCUAGAUGACAGUUGCACAGUACUCGUUAUUGUUGUGGCAGUAUCUGUGUGGAUUAUUGGCCUCAUCCACUGUGCCUGGUGCUGAAGAAGUGCUUCAGGAAUGAAUCCACAGAUUGAGAUGAAAAUUCUCAAGCUUUCUCUUUCUCAACUCCUCCAAGGUUCUCCAUCACUUUCUGAGUCCUACAGGAGGAAAGUGCUAUUGAAGAUGCGGCUAUGCCGUGAAGCUCUGGGGCUGGGAGAAGCUGUCCCACCACUUCCGGGCGGCGGUGGCGGCAAGGAGCAGUUUGUAUUCCCCGUUGUUUCUCCUGUUGACGACAUCUGUGCCUCUUAUCUGGGAGAAGAUCAGAGGAAACUGCCGCCUCCCUAGAGCCCGUGUUUUAUUGAUCCCCGUGUAAGAGUCUUGUUGCCCCUGCUUCCAUCCUCCCUUCUUUUCCACUCCUGCCACAGGUUUGGCACUUCUAGGUACUCAGGUGUCAGCGCAAAUUUCCCGUCUUUAGACAAGUACAGCUAAAAGUGAUGCCCACACGAUCUCUCAGUUCCUAUUACAUCUUCACAAAUAUCGUCUCCUCCGGAAAGUAUGUCUUUGAAUUAUUGGUUUGUUUUUCUCUCCCCUAGAAUGGGAGCUUCCUGAGUACCGAAACACUGUCUAUGUAGACUGUGUUUAACUCACUUCAUCACCAUGUGUAGAGUUAAGGUCCUAUAAAAUACGGUUACUGCCUUGAACAGAUGAGGUGAGUAGUAUAAGGAAACGGAGAUCAAACACAAAGCAAUACUUAAAAAAAUUAUCCUGCCACAUUUCUAAAAUCUUAAUAAUAGCAUUCACUAAUGUUUUUUGGUUUUCCUUUGUGCUUUCUCCAUAGCCCCUUAUUCUUAUCAUUAUUUUUGACAUUUGACUCACAAUUUUCCAUUUGUUUUCAAAUGACCAAGCAGAUUUUCCAAUUUUCUAGUUAAUUCCUGUGUUUCCUUCACCAUUCUGUUUUCUGGUUUUCUUUUGGGCUA
rnacentral:tRNA from 1 species